AUUUUAAAGCUGAAUCUGAAGACCAUAUUUAAAUCUAAUUCAUAAUCAUGUCUCAGGUCUCUAAGAUUUGGGUAUUUUUUCUCAGUCUUUUCAACAUUUUAGGAUACCAUUUUGCAUCAGCAGCAUAUUACUGCAAUUACUACUACAGCUACUGCUAUUAUUACUACUACUACUACUAUUACUAUUCCUCCUACAGUAGCGCCGGGACCAUCGCUGGAGCUGUUGUGGGUAGCAUUGUUUUCCCAGCUUAUCGUAGCGGUUGUCAUUAUAAUUAUAUGUUGUAAGAAAAAGAACCGGCCAGGAAUGAUCAUUCAACACCCCUGCAGUUCACACUGUGACUACAGCUCAUUAUGGACAGCCAGCAUAUGGACAACCACCUCCUAGUUACGGGCCACCACAGUCAGGAUUCAAUCAGUAUAAUCAGUAUCCACCACCACCUGGUGGUAAUCCCGCAUUCCGUCCAUCACCCCCAC